CAGUCGCCGCGGUAAUACGUAGGUGGCAAGCGUUGUCCGGAAUUAUUGGGCGUAAAGGGCUCGCAGGCGGUUUCUUAAGUCUGGUGUGAAAGCCCCCGGCUCAACCGGGGAGGGUCAUUGGAAACUGGGAAACUUGAGCGCAGAAGAGGAGAGUAGAAUUCCACGUGUAGCGGUGAAAUGCGUAGAGAUGUGGAGGAACACCCGUGGCGAAGGCGACUCUCUGGUCUGUAACUGACGCUGAGGAGCGAAAGCGUGGGGAGCGAACAGGAUUAGAUACCCGUGUAGUCCCUGUCUCUUAUAC
rnacentral:rRNA from 1 species